UACGUAGGGGGCGAGCGUUGUCCGGAGUUACUGGGCGUAAAGCGCACGCAGGCGGUCUGUUAAGUUUGGAGUGACAAGUUCGGGUGGCUUAACUGCCAAAGUUGCUUCGAAAACUGACAGACUUGAGGGCUUCAGAGGGACGACGGAAUUCCCGGUGUAGAGGUGAAAUUCGUAGAUAUCGGGAGGAACACCAGUGGCGAAGGCGGCGAAUCGUGGGAAGCAGUACUGACGCUGAGGUGCGAAAGCGUGGGGAGCAAACAGG
rnacentral:rRNA from 1 species